rnacentral:rRNA from 1 species
GACGAACGCUGGCGGCGUGCUUAACACAUGCAAGUCGAACGAAGUGGCGAACGGGUGAGUAACGCGUAAUCAACCUGCCCUUCAGAGGGGGACCACAGUUGGAAACGACUGCUAAUACCGCAUAAUGAAGGCGAGGCUUGCGUCUGAUUAGCUCGUUGGAGGGGUAACGGCCCAACAAGGCGAUAAUCAGUAGCCGGUCUGAGAGGAUGGAAGGCCACAUUGGGACUGAGACACGGCCCAGACUCCUACGGGAGGCAGCAGUGGGGAAUCUUCCGCAAUGGACGAAAGUCUGACGAAGCAACGGCGCGUGAGUGAUGACGGCCUUCGGGUUGUAAAGCUCUGUUAAUCGGGACGCGGUACCGGAAUAGAAAGCCACGGCUAACUACGUGCCAGCCGCCGCGGUAAUUC